rnacentral:rRNA from 1 species
CCUACGGGUGGCAGCAGUGAGGAAUAUUGGUCAAUGGACGAGAGUCUGAACCAGCCAAGUAGCGUGAAGGAUGACUGCCCUAUGGGUUGUAAACUUCUUUUAUAUGGGAAUAAAAUGUUCCACGUGUGGGAUUUUGUAUGUACCAUAUGAAUAAGGAUCGGCUAACUCUGUGCCAGCAGCCGCGGUAAUAUGGAGGAUCCGAGCGUUAUCCGGAUUUAUUGGGUUUAAAGGGAGCGUAGGUGGAUUGUUAAGUCAGUUGUGAAAGUUUGCGGCUCAACCGUAAAAUUGCAGUUGAAACUGGCAGUCUUGAGUACAGUAGAGGUGGGCGGAAUUCGUGGUGUAGCGGUGAAAUGCUUAGAUAUCACGAAGAACUCCGAUUGCGAAGGCAGUUCACUGGACUGCAACUGACACUGAGGCUCGAAAGUGUGGGUAUCAAACAGGAUUAGAUACCCGAGUAGUC